rnacentral:rRNA from 1 species
AUUGAACGCUGGCGGCAGGCCUAACACAUGCAAGUCGAGCGAGCGGCGGACGGGUGAGUAAUGUAUGGGGACUGCCCGAUAGAGGGGGAUAACUACUGGAAACGGUAGCUAAUCCCGCAUACUAUCGGAUAACCCAUAUGGGAUUAGCUAGUAGGUGAGGUAAUGGCUCACCUAGGCGACGAUCCUUAGCUGGUCUGAGAGGAUGAUCAGCCACACGGGGACGGAGAUACGGCCCAUACUCCUCGGGAGUCAGCAGGGGGGAAUAUUGCACAAUGGGCGCAAGCCUGAUGAAGCCAUGCCGCGUGUAUGAAGAAGGCCCUAGGGUGGUAAAGUACUUUCAGUCGGGAGGCGUUACCGACAGAAGAAGCACCGGCUAACUCCGGGCCAGCAGCUGCGGUAAUUC